GACGAACGCUGGCGGCGUGCCUAAUACAUGCAAGUUGAGCGCUGAAGGUUGGUACUUGUACCAACUGGAUGAGCAGCGAACGGGUGAGUAACGCGUGGGGAAUCUGCCUUUGAGCGGGGGACAACAUUUGGAAACGAAUGCUAAUACCGCAUAAAAACUUUAAACACAAGUUUUAAGUUUGAAAGAUGCAAUUGCAUCACUCAAAGAUGAUCCCGCGUUGUAUUAGCUAGUUGGUGAGGUAAAGGCUCACCAAGGCGAUGAUACAUAGCCGACCUGAGAGGGUGAUCGGCCACAUUGGGACUGAGACACGGCCCAAACGCCUACGGGAGGCAGCAGUAGGGAAUCUUCGGCAAUGGACGAAAGUCUGACCGAGCAACGCCGCAUGAGGGAAGAAGGGUUUCGGAUCGUAAAACUCGGUUGGUAGAGAAGAACGUUGGUGAGAGUGGAAAGCUCAUCAAGUGACGGUAACUACCCAGAAAGGGACGGCUAACUACGUG
rnacentral:rRNA from 1 species